AGAGUUUGAUCCUGGCUCAGGAUGAACGCUAGCUACAGGCUUAACACAUGCAAGUCGAGGGGCAGCAUGAACUUAGCUUGCUAAGUUUGAUGGCGACCGGCGCACGGGUGAGUAACACGUAUCCAACCUGCCGAUGACUCGGGGAUAGCCUUUCGAAAGAAAGAUUAAUACCCGAUGGCAUAGUUCUUCCGCAUGGUAGAACUAUUAAAGAAUUUCGGUCAUCGAUGGGGAUGCGUUCCAUUAGGUUGUUGGCGGGGUAACGGCCCACCAAGCCUUCGAUGGAUAGGGGUUCUGAGAGGAAGGUCCCCCACAUUGGAACUGAGACACGGUCCAAACUCCUACGGGAGGCAGCAGUGAGGAAUAUUGGUCAAUGGGCGAGAGCCUGAACCAGCCAAGUCGCGUGAGGGAAGAAUGGUCUAUGGCCUGUAAACCUCUUUUGCCAGGGAAGAAUAAAAGGUACGUGUACCUUCUUGCCAGUACCUGACGAAUAAGCAUCGGCUAACUCCGUGCCAGCAGCCGCGGUAAUACGGGGGAUGCGAGCGUUAUCCGGAUUUAUUGGGUUUAAAGGGCGCGUAGGCGGGACGCCAAGUCAGCGGUAAAAGACUGCAGCUAAACUGUAGCACGCCGUUGAAACUGGCGACCUGGAGACGAGACGAGGGAGGCGGAACAAGUGAAGUAGCGGUGAAAUGCUUAGAUAUCACUUGGAACCCCGAUAGCGAAGGCAGCUUCCCAGGCUCGAUCUGACGCUGAUGCGCGAGAGCGUGGGUAGCGAACAGGAUUAGAUACCCUGGUAGUCCACGCCGUAAACGAUGCUCAC
rnacentral:rRNA from 1 species